rnacentral:lncRNA from 1 species
UUUUGUUCGAAUUUGAUUAAGAUUUAAUAAUUAUUUUUUUAGGAUUUUAUUUGGAUAUUUUUAUGAUUGAUUAAGAUUUCAAUAAGAUUUAUUUAAAUUUUUUUUAUGAUUUAUUAAAAAGUUUUUAGAAUUUUAUUAGGAUUUAUUUUAGAAUUAUAUUAAAAUUUGAUUAAGAUUUACCUAAGAUUUAAUUAAGAUUUAU